CGGGUGGUAAACUCCAUCUAAGGCUAAAUACGGUCACGAGACCGAUAGCGAACAAGUACCGUGAGGGAAAGUUGAAAAGCACUUUGGAGAGAGAGUUAAAAAGUACGUGAAACCGUCGAGAGGCAAACGGGAGGGCCUGUCGGGUCGUUCGGUCGCUUUCAGGCGGGCCGGAGACCGGGUCGCGGGAUCGGGGACCUUCGCGGGCCUCGACUCGCGUCGCCGGCCGACGGCUCGGCGCACUAGCGUCGGACGAGGGCCGCGACCGGCUGGGCGGCGGGCAAACGGCUCCGGGCAAGGUAACCCCGCUUCGGCGGGGUGCUACAGGCCCGGUGCGCGCAAGGGUCGCCGCCCGGUCGAGGAGAGAUGCGCGCCGCACCUGCCCCGUUCGCGGGGCCGGGGAAGCCGUUCGAGCAGCGUCGUGUCGCGGUCCGGGACUGUCCUCAGUCCCGGGUCGUCUCGGCGCGGUUCCGAGCGGUCGCUCCCUCGCGAGGUGCCGCGGGUCAGCGGCUGACGCCAGCCACCUUCCCGACCCGUCUUGAAACACGGACCAAGGAGUCUAACAUGUGCGCGAGCCGCGGGGCAAUACGAAACCCGUAAGGCGAAAUGAAGGUGAACGCCGGCGCGGUCCGGCGGAGGUUGGAUCCCGUCCCGUCGGGGCGGGCGCACUACCGGCCGAUCUUCUCCGCCCGUCGGCGAGGUCGAGCGAGAGCGUGCAAGUCGGGACCCGAAAGAU
rnacentral:ncRNA from 1 species